rnacentral:rRNA from 1 species
GACGAACGCUGGCGGCGUGCUUAACACAUGCAAGUCGAACGGAAAGGCCCUGCUUUUGUGGGGUGCUCGAGUGGCGAACGGGUGAGUAACACGUGAGUAACCUGCCCUUGACUUUGGGAUAACUUCAGGAAGCUGGGGCUAAUACCGGAUAGGAGCUCCUGCUGCAUGGUGGGGGUUGGAAAGUUUCGGCGGUUGGGGAUGGACUCGCGGCUUAUCAGCUUGUUGGUGGGGUAGUGGCUUACCAAGGCUUUGACGGGUAGCCGGCCUGAGAGGGUGACCGGCCGCAUUGGGACUGAGAUACGGCCCAGACUCCUACGGGAGGCAGCAGUGGGGAAUAUUGCACAAUGGGCGGAAGCCUGAUGCAGCAACGCCGCGUGCGGGAUGACGGCCUUCGGGUUGUAAACCGCUUUCGCCUGUGACGAAGCGUGAGUGACGGUAAUGGGUAAAGAAGCACCGGCUAACUACGUG